GUCUCACUCGGUCUCUCACAUCUCGCGUAGUAGCCUGACCCCUGAGCCCUGAGCCUUGAGCCUCCUCUCUCUCGGUCUUCAAUCACUCUCUCAAACUCUCUGUCUCUCAUUCCCAACACCAUCUCUCGAUUUCUCUCUAUUUCUGCCUUCAUCCAAAAAAAUUUCACACACCUCCAUCUCGGCCAAGCUCUCGCCGCCGUCAAUUUCGAUGUCCUCUUCAGGUUCGCACAUUCAAUCUCAUUAUUUGUAUAUUUAAUUUAAUGAUUGUGUAAUUAAUUGUGCUGUAGAGGGAAGAAAUCAGAUCCAUGGUUGAAAAGGAUGGAUCUGCAAAGGGAAUUGUGUUCAGCCAGUUCACAUCGUUCUUGGAUAUUUCAAGGUCCGACCCGAACCCCAAAUUUUGUUUCUGCAUGUUUUUAGAUUUCUAGGGUUUUAUAUUUGUGUAUGCGAAAUGGGAUUUUUUUUUGCAGGCAUAUUUGCGUCGUUAGCGGCGCUGAUGUUCAAUUGCAUAAAAAAGGUGGACAAGAAUGCGAGUGGAGGUGAGCAAUUGAAUGCACAACUCAGAUAUUGAUUACUCAUAUAACUGCAUAAGAAAUUAAAAACCUACCCAGUUGAUGGGUUUCUCGAUUUAAUUCUCCACCCAAGACAGAGAGUUCGUGUGUAAAGAGAGAAGGCAAAGAGGGUCUGGCAUUUGGGCGGCGACGAUUGAGUUGCUGCUGCUACUGCUACCCUUCUCCUUCUUUCUAUCAUUUUAGCUUCUGGGUACUUUCGGAUUUGAGUUGCUGCUUGAGUAUCAUUAAAGUAAGAAAAUAGCGGUGCUAUAGCGGAAGAAGAGGGAAGAGAAACAGUUGAGUCAUCCUCUUUCUGUUUGAGUUUGUCAAAUGGUGCACAAGGACUGGGAGAAACUUUUGGGAGAGUGACAAUUGAAGCCAUGGCAUUCGGUCUUCCGGUGCUUGGAACCGAAGCCGGAGGCACAAAAGAGAUUGUUGAACACAAUGUAACAGGUCUGCUUCAUCCUGUGGGGCAUGACGGAACUCGUGGCCUCGCCGAGAAUCACCGAUUUUUGCUUAAAAUAGGUCGAUGCAUUGAAGAACCAUAGAUGUCGAACACAGCAGAGGUCGAUGCAUUGAAGGCGGAAGUGACGCACCUGAGGGUCGAGGGCGAGCAGAUGAAGGCGCAGCUGAGGGCCCAGGGCGAGGAGAUGAAGACAUGUGUCGGGAGGGUGCAAGAACUUGUACAAGCCAUACAGAUGUCCGGCCUCCAAAUUGAAGGGAAAUCUAUGAGAUUCUAGCAUGAGAUUUCAAAAUGACUAUCAUGCAUAUUCAAAUCAAAUUUAAUACGAAAGCAGCGGAAGCAUUUAUAACAUA